rnacentral:rRNA from 1 species
CAAUACAACUGGCGCACGGCGCACGGGUGCGUAACACGUGGGCAAUCUGCCCUUCGAUGGGGAAUAACUACGGGAAACCGAAGCUAAUUCCGCAUAACAUUCCUUGGACCUCGGUUCGAGGACUCAAAGCCGUAAGGCGUCGAAGGAGGAGCCCGCGCACGAUUAGCUAGUUGGUAGGGUAACGGCCUACCAAGGCUUUGAUCGUUAGCUGGUCUGAGAGGAUGGCCAGCCACACUGGAACUGAGACACGGUCCAGACUCCUACGGGAGGCAGCAGUGGGGAAUCUUGCACAAUGGGCGAAAGCCUGAUGCAGCGACGCCGCGUGGGGGAUGAAGCAUCUCGGUGUGUAAACCCCUUUCGACCCGGACGAAUGCCUCGCAAGAGGAGUGACGGUACGGGUAUAAGAAGCCCCGGCUAACUACGUGCCAGCAGCCGCGGUAAGACGUAGGGGGCCAGCGUUGUUCGGAAUUACUGGGUGUAAAGGGUCAGUAGGCGGUGUGGCAAGUCGGGAGUGAAAUCUCUGGGCUCAACCCAGAGGCUGCUUCCGAAACUGCCAUGCUAGAGUGUGGGAGAGGCGCGUGGAAUUGCAGGUGUAGCGGUGAAAUGCGUAGAUAUCUGCAGGAACACCCGUGGCGAAAGCGGCGCGCUGGACCACAACUGACGCUGAAUGACGAAAGCUAGGGGAGCAAACAGGAUUAGAUACCCUGGUAGUCCUAGCCCUAAACGAUCAGGACUUGGGGUGCCGCACGUUCGUGCGUCGUCCCGGAGCUAACGCGUUAAGUCCUGCACCUGGGGAGUACGGUCGCAAGACUGAAACUC